rnacentral:lncRNA from 10 species
UUUUUUUUGUAUUUUUAGUAGAGACGGGGAUUCACCAUGUUGAUCAGGCUUGUCUCGAACUGCGACCUCAAGUAAUCCACCCGCCUCGGCCUCCCAAAGUGCCCUGCACAUUAAUUGAUUUAUUUGACAAACAUUAACUAAGCACCCACUUUGUGAUAGGCACUCGACUUGAUCUCUGUCCAAAAUAUAUAUGAAAAGGCUGUCUUAAACUUUACUUUUUCCUUAUGUUUUGUUUUCCAAUAAUCGUGGAUAAUUUCCUUUAUUUUAAAAAAUUAAAAAAUAGAUAUUAAAAUUAAGCCAGCAUCAGCAGAGGCUUAGAGCAGAAUUCUGUUGAGGGAUGAGUAAGUGCCACCUCAGUAUUCCCUGUUCCUCACCUCUCUUCUUUCCCUUUCAUUCUCCCACACUUCUGGGAACAGAAAAUGACAGGGCCCCACUUUAUGGAAGGCGAGUAAAUCAGAUUAUAGCAAAGAGUUCAGAUGUUGAGUUUUUAAAUAAGGAAAUAGCCCAAUUUAUUUUAAAGGUGCUUUGAUGGCUAUUGACUUGGCUAUAUUAUGUAUAGUCUGUGGAGAGGAUACUUGGCAAAAGGCCCUUAAAACAUCCC